AAAUGCCACAGCAGCUGAAUGUCGUCACAGAGCGCCAACACCGGGCAGAGGUGCUGUCAGGCGGAGGGAAGUUUUGGAAUUCGUUAUGGAAAAAAUGGGUCCUUCAUUGAAUUGUGACGGGGAAUCGGGACUCUGGGGCAGAAAUAGGCAUCACGCGUCACCCGUUCUGCGUGGAGUUUGCUGCACUCCGGCGAGAUGGGAGCAGAAGUGCACAGGAGUAGAAGGAUUAGCUUUCUAGCCACAAGAUCCAGCACGUUGCAGGCGGCAAUUAGGAAGUUUCAGGGGAAGACUAGAGAGCACGGAUGAAUGCAGUCACACGAUGGAGUGAAGGUCAGCUCAACAUCCGUCUCCACACUGGGGUCUUCUAGAAACUGCGCUGUAUCGACAGCUCAUUGUGAGGAGCUCCAGGGCUGUGCAAAAGCCAUCGAUGGAACAGCAGCAUAAAGGAAUCCUUCUGUUAUGUUUAUUGUCUUUUGCUUCAAAAGCGGACUCCUUGUCUUUUCCGCAGA